rnacentral:rRNA from 1 species
GACGAACCGUGCGAACGUUGUUCGGAAUCACUGGGCUUAAAGGGAGCGUAGGCGGGCUAACAAGUCUGGGGUGAAAUGCCGCGGCUCAACCGUGGAACUGCCUCAGAUACUGUCGGCCUCGAGGGAGAUAGGGGCAUGCGGAACUAACGGUGGAGCGGCGAAAUGCGUUGAUAUCGUUAGGAACUCCGGUGGCGAAAGCGGCGUGCUGGAUCUCUUCUGACGCUGAGGCUCGAAAGCUAGGGGAGCAAACGGG